rnacentral:rRNA from 1 species
AGAGCGAACGCUGGCGGCAGGCCUAACACAUGCAAGUCGAGCGCCCGUAGCAAUACGGGAGCGGCAGACGGGAGAGUAACACGUGGGAACGUACCCUUCAGUUCGGAAUAACCCGGGGAAACUUGGACUAAUACCGAAUACGUCCGUAAGGAGAAAGAUUUAUCGCUGAAGGAUCGGCCCGCGUCUGAUUAGCUAGUUGGUGAGGUAACGGCUCACCAAGGCGAUGAUCGAUAGCUGGUCUGAGAGGAUGAUCAGCCACAUUGGGACUGAGACACGGCCCAAACUCCUACGGGAGGCAGCAGUGGGGAAUAUUGGACAAUGGGCGCAAGCCUGAUCCAGCCAUGCCGCGUGAGUGAUGACGGCCUUAGGGUUGUAAAGCUCUUUCGCUCGGGACGAUAAUGACGGUACCGAGAUAAGAAGCCCGGCUAACUUCGUGCCAGCAGCCGC